rnacentral:rRNA from 1 species
CCUACGGGAGGCAGCAGUGAGGAAUAUUGGUCAAUGGCCGCGAGGCUGAACCAGCCAAGUAGCGUGAAGGAUGACGGCCCUACGGGUUGUAAACUUCUUUUAUGCGGGAUUAAUGUGAGGUACGUGUACCUUAUUGCAGGUACCGCAUGAAUAAGCAUCGGCUAACUCCGUGCCAGCAGCCGCGGUAA